AUUGAACGCUGGCGGCAUGCUUUACACAUGCAAGUCGAACGGUAACAGGCCGCAAGGUGCUGACGAGUGGCGAACGGGGGAGUAAUGCAUCGGAACGUGCCCAGUCGUGGGGGAUAACGCAGCGAAAGCUGCGCUAAUACCGCAUACGAUCUCUGGAUGAAAGCGGGGGACCGAAAGGCCUCGCGCGAUUGGAGCGGCCGAUGUCAGAUUAGGUAGUGGGUGGGGUAAAGGCCCACCAAGCCAACGAUCUGUAGCUGGUCUGAGAGGACGACCAGCCACACUGGGACUGAGACACGGCCCAGACUCCUACGGGAGGCAGCAGUGGGGAAUUUUGGACAAUGGGCGCAAGCCUGAUCCAGCAAUGCCGCGUGCAGGAAGAAGGCCUUCGGGUUGUAAACUGCUUUUGUACGGAACGAAACGGUCCGGGUUAAUACCCUGGGCUAAUGACGGUACCGUAAGAAUAAGCACCGGCUAACUACGUGCCAGCCGCCGCCGUAAGAC
rnacentral:rRNA from 1 species